UUCUAGGCUGUUUUCACGGCCAUCCCACAUAAAAAAUUUAACUUUAU
rfam:Octopus bimaculoides Scaffold66258_contig_62, whole genome shotgun sequence.